AUUUACCCCAGCUAUUUUAGGCACAAUGAGAUUAGUAGAAACUGAAAAGAAUCAGAGAUCAACUCUGGUGUUACUGAAAGAUACGUUGUCGGCUCUUUACUUUCACCAGAACACGCCUAAGGUCAUUGGUUACUCUGCAGAGUUCUGAGACCUCUGCCACAGCGAGUCACGUGUGCAGAUGAUAAGAUGGAGAAGAGAGGAGAGGAAAGAAGGAGGCAAACCACACUUUUCUCCUCCUGGCUUAGAGUUUACCGAGGGGAGAGUCUUCAAUAUUGGCUGAAGCAAUGAAUGGCUCCUUCAAGAGAUCACUAAGGUCAUCCUGCCAACACUUUCACUCCGUGCCCUUGUCACUCUUGUCUAAAAUCUAAAGGUGACUGUGCCUUUGCUGUUACUGCCUCCAGGCUUUGGAAUUGACUGCCAGCCCACAUGAAGACCUCUCCAACAAUUAACAGUUUUAACUAAAGAUCUGCGUAUUUUCACUUGCUUUAUUCAAGUCUGUCAAGUCCAGUGUGAAUGUUUUCUCACUGCGCUUUCUUUUUAAAACUGGUGUUUCUAUUGUUAGCUUUAUUUUAGGUAUUAAUUUGUAUAUAUCACAUUUCGCAUCAUCAUAUCACAUCCUUGUUAUUUUUGCUCUGCCUUUCAUUUUUUUCCAUCACAUUAUUUGCUCAAGUGAGUUUUAUGUUUUGUAAUUGAGUUUUUUUUAGACCUGAAAUGUAAAUGUGUCUGCCUGGAAAGUGCUGUGGGUCAACUCCAGUUGAUUUAAAUGUGCUAUGUAAAUAGAAGUGACUUUGCUCACAUGAGAAGUGGACCUUUUUUCUUGUAGUGAUGAA